CCUACGGGAGGCAGCAGUGGGGGAUAUUGCACAAUGGGGGAAACCCUGAUGCAGCAACGCCGCGUGUGGGAAGAAGGUUUUCGGAUUGUAAACCACUGUUCUUGGUGAAGAUAAUGACGGUAACCAAGGAGAAAGCUCCGGCUAACUACGUGCCAGCAGCCGCGGUAAUACGUAGGGAGCAAGCGUUGUCCGGAUUUACUGGGUGUAAAGGGUGCGUAGGCGGCUAGGCAAGUCAGACGUGAAAACCAUGGGCUCAACCUGUGGACUGCGUUUGAAACUGUUUAGCUUGAGUGAAGUAGAGGUAGGCGGAAUUCCCGGUGUAGCGGUGAAAUGCGUAGAGAUCGGGAGGAACACCAGUGGCGAAGGCGGCCUACUGGGCUUUAACUGACGCUGAGGCACGAAAGCAUGGGUAGCAAACAGGAUUAGAUACCCCAGUAGU
rnacentral:rRNA from 1 species